rnacentral:rRNA from 1 species
GACGUAGGGCGCGAGCGUUGUCCGGAUUUAUUGGGCGUAAAGAGCUCGUAGGCGGCUUGUCGCGUCGUCCGUGAAAACCCACAGCUCAACUGUGGGCUUGCGGUCGAUACGGGCAGGCUAGAGUUCGGUAGGGGAGACUGGAAUUCCUGGUGUAGCGGUGAAAUGCGCAGAUAUCAGGAGGAACACCGGUGGCGAAGGCGGGUCUCUGGGCCGAUACUGGCGCUGAGGAGCGAAAGCGUGGGGAGCGAACAGG